CGAUGGGAUAGAGGCUGCAGUUUAUAUGAGUAAAGCGGACGAGAAGCAAUGACAUCUGUGACUCCGCUCGAAAGGAUACACUGCCGAAGUAUGGACCGGUCAUUGUCUGUUCAUGCUGGGGAUGUUUCCGAACAGGGGCAUCACUGUCGCGUUAUUUAACGUGGAGGGCUAUCUUCGGA
rnacentral:ncRNA from 1 species